rnacentral:rRNA from 1 species
UAGGGAAUCUUCGGCAAUGGACGAAAGUCUGACCGAGCAACGCCGCGUGAGUGAAGAAGGUUUUCGGAUCGUAAAACUCUGUUGUUAGAGAAGAACAAGGACGUUAGUAACUGAACGUCCCUUGACGGUAUCUAACCAGAAAGCCACGGCUAACUACGUGCCAGCAGCCGCGGUAAUACGUAGGUGGCAAGCGUUGUCCGGAUUUAUUGGGCGUAAAGCGAGCGCAGGCGGUUUCUUAAGUCUGAUGUGAAAGCCCCCGGCUCAACCGGGGAGAGUCAUUGGAAACUGGGAGACGUGAGUGCAGAAGAGGAGAGUGGAAUUGCAUGUGUGGCGGUGAAAUGCGUAGAUAUAUGGAGGAACACCAGUGGCGAAGGCGGCUCUCUGGUCUGUAACUGACGCUGAGGCUAGAAAGGGUGGGGAGCAAACAGG